rnacentral:lncRNA from 1 species
UCUUACGCGCAUAAUGGACAUCAAGGGGAAGUGUUAUGAAUAUUAUGGUAAUGCCAUUAUGGCAAGUCAUAGAUAUGCUCGUUCUCCAAGCUUUACUUAUUCUCCAAGCUUUACUUGUUCUUCAAGUGGCUUUGUCUCCAAGUUAUUGUAAUCUUAUAUAAAAGACUCAUUACUCAUAGAAUAAUACACACCAAUUUCCUCUCUCCUCUUUCUCUCUUCUUUAUUUAUAACAUCCCCUCUUUUCUUUAUUCUCCUUUUUUUUAGUUUUUCUUCCUACCUUAUUUUCAUCCGUCUUGUCCUCCUCACCCAUCUCUUCUUUUUUCUUCUUUAUCUUGUCUUUGUUCUUUUUCAUUGCUCACCUUUCUUUCUUGUUUCUCUUUUUUUUUUCCUACUAAUCUUCUACCUCUGUUUUAAGAGCACAAUAUAAUAUGUAACAAUAUGUUCUUUUCAUUUUCAUUUUUAUUAAAAAAUUUACCUAAUUUUGCUUUCGCCAUUUGUUUUUCUUCCCCUCUUACUCUUCUUUCUCGUCUUGUUCUUCCUCA